rnacentral:rRNA from 1 species
AACGAACGCUGGCGGCAGGCUUAACACAUGCAAGUCGAACGCCCCGCAAGGGGAGUGGCAGACGGGUGAGUAACGCGUGGGAACAUACCCUUUCCUGCGGAAUAGCUCCGGGAAACUGGAAUUAAUACCGCAUACGCCCUACGGGGGAAAGAUUUAUCGGGGAAGGAUUGGCCCGCGUUGGAUUAGCUAGUUGGUGGGGUAAAGGCCUACCAAGGCGACGAUCCAUAGCUGGUCUGAGAGGAUGAUCAGCCACAUUGGGACUGAGACACGGCCCAAACUCCUACGGGAGGCAGCAGUGGGGAAUAUUGGACAAUGGGCGCAAGCCUGAUCCAGCCAUGCCGCGUGAGUGAUGAAGGCCUUAGGGUUGUAAAGCUCUUUUGUCCGGGAAGAUAAUGACUGUACCGGAAGAAUAAGCCCCGGCUAACUUCGUGCCAGCCGCCGCGGUAACAC